rnacentral:rRNA from 1 species
AUUGAACGCUGGCGGCAGGCCUAACACAUGCAAGUCGAGCGGAUGAGAGGAGCUUGCUUCUCGAUUCAGCGGCGGACGGGUGAGUAAUGCCUAGGAAUCUGCCUGGUAGUGGGGGACGACGUUUCGAAAGGAACGCUAAUACCGCAUACGUCCUACGGGAGAAAGCAGGGGACCUUCGGGCCUUGCGCUAUCAGAUGAGCCUAGGUCGGAUUAGCUAGUUGGUGAGGUAAUGGCUCACCAAGGCGACGAUCCGUAACUGGUCUGAGAGGAUGAUCAGGCACACUGGAACUGAGACACGGACCAGACUCCUCGGGGAGGCAGCAGUGCGGAAUAUUGGACGAUGGGCGAAAGCCUGAUACAGCCAUGCCGCGUGUGUGAAGAAGGUCUUCGGAUUGUAAAGCACUUUAAGUUGGGAGGAAGGGUUGUAGAUUAAUACUCUGCAAUUUUGACGUUACCGACAGAAUAAGCACCGGCUAACUCUGUGCCAGCCGCCGCGGUAA